AUUGAACGCUGGCGGCAUGCCUUACACAUGCAAGUCGAACGGUAACGGGCCUUCGGGUGCCGACGAGUGGCGAACGGGUGAGUAAGGCAUCGGAACGUACCUUUCGGUGGGGGAUAACGUAGCGAAAGUUACGCUAAUACCGCAUAUGCUGUGAGCAGGAAAGCAGGGGAUCGCAAGUCCUUGCGCUGAUUGAGCGGCCGAUGUCAGAUUAGCUAGUGGGUGAGGUAAAGGCUCACCAAGGCGACGAUCUGUAGCGGGUCUGAGAGGAUGAUCCGCCACACUGGAACUGAGACACGGUCCAGACUCCUACGGGAGGCAGCAGUGGGGAAUUUUGGACAAUGGGGGCAACCCUGAUCCAGCCAUGCCGCGUGAGUGAAGAAGGCCUUCGGGUUGUAAAGCUCUUUCGGUCGGGAAGAAAUCGCAUGGGUUAAUACACUGUGCGGAUGACGGUACCGGCAUAAGAAGCACCGGCUAACUACGUGCCAGCCGCCGCCGUAAUAC
rnacentral:rRNA from 1 species